UACGGAGGGUGCAAGCGUUGUUCGGAAUCACUGGGCGUAAAGGGCGUGUAGGCGGUCCGCUAAGUCUGAUGUGAAAGCCCGAGGCUUACCCUCGGAAGUGCAUUGGAGACUGGCGGACUGGAGUCCCGGAGAGGAGGGUGGAAUUCCUGGUGUAGCGGUGAAAUGCGUAGAUAUCAGGAGGAACACCCGUGGCGAAGGCGGCCCACUGGGCCGGUACUGACGCUGAGGCGCGAAGGCGUGGGGAGCGAACGGG
rnacentral:rRNA from 1 species